rnacentral:rRNA from 1 species
UAGGGAAUAUUAGUAAUGGGCGAAAGCCUGAACUAGCAACGCCGCGUGUGCGAAGAAGGCCUUCGGGUUGUAAAGCACUUUUGAGAGGAUGAAGAAGGACGGUACUCUCAGAAUAAGUCUCGGCUAACUACGUGUCCGCAGCCGCGGUAACACGUAGGAGGCGAACGUUAUCCGGAUUUACUGGGCGUAAGCGCGUGUAGGUGGUUUGGUAAGUAGGGCGUGAAAGCUCCUGGCUCAACUGGGAGAGGCCGUUCUAAACUGCCGAACUAGAGGAUGGUAGAGGGAGGUGGAAUUCCGGGUGUAGCGGUGGAAUGCGCAGAUAUCCGGAGGAACACCAGUGGCGAAAGCGGCCUCCUGGACCAUUCCUGACACUCAGACGCGAAAGCUAGGGUAGCAAACGG